UACAGGGGGGGCAAGCGUUGUUCGGAAUUACUGGGCGUAAAGGGCUCGUAGGUGGCCAACUAAGUCAGACGUGAAAUCCCUCAGCUUAACUGGGGAACUGCGUCUGAUACUGGAUGGCUUGAGUUUGGGAGAGGGAUGCGGAAUUCCUGGUGUAGCGGUGAAAUGCGUAGAUAUCAGGAGGAACACCAGUGGCGAAGGCGACUACCUGGCCUGUUCUUGACGCUGAGGCGCGAAAGCUAGGGGAGCAAACGGG
rnacentral:rRNA from 1 species